rnacentral:rRNA from 1 species
ACGAACGCUGGCGGCGUGCUUAACACAUGCAAGUCGAACGGUGAAGCGCCUUCCUUUUUGGUGGGUGUGGAUGAGUGGCGCACGGGUGAGUAACACGUGAGUAACCUGCCCCCUUCUUCUGGAUAACCGCAUGAAAGUGUGGCUAAUACGGGAUAUUCUGGGUCUGUCGCAUGAUGGGUCUGGGAAAGAUAUUGUUUCGGUGGGGGAUGGGCUCGCGGCCUAUCAGCUUGUUGGGGGGGUGAUGGCCUACCAAGGCGGUGACGGGUAGCCGGCCUGAGAGGGUGGACGGUCACACUGGGACUGAGACACGGCCCAGACUCCUACGGGAGGCAGCAGUGGGGAAUAUUGCACAAUGGGCGCAAGCCUGAUGCAGCGACGCCGCGUGAGGGAUGGAGGCCUUCGGGUUGUGAACCUCUUUCGCCAGUGAAGCAGGCCUGCCUCGUUUGUGGGUGGGUUGACGGUAGCUGGAUAAGAAGCGCCGGCUAACUACGUG